AGUUAAAAACUCACACAAUUAUUUUGAAAAUAAUUUUAAAAUAUUUAACUU
rnacentral:tRNA from 1 species